AGAUUAACAGAUUCCCUAGGUGUGGCUAAAAGUGCAUUAUCUUCUUGAUUAAAAGAUAGGACCUCAGCUAUAGAAAAGGGUUGGUUUUGACCUAUUGCAAUCAACUCCGGACACACAUCAUAAUUAGGGGCAGGACGUGUUGACUCCCAAGGUCUAUGGCUGGUUUCCGAAGGUGCAAAGAAUUUAAUAAUAGGUAUGGAAUUUGAGUUAUCCAUA
rnacentral:lncRNA from 1 species